UACGUAGGGGGCUAGCGUUGUCCGGAAUCAUUGGGCGUAAAGCGCGUGUAGGCGGUCCGGUAAGUCCGCUGUGAAAGCCAGGGGCUCAACCCUUGGAUGCCGGUGGAUACUGUCGGGCUUGAGUACGGGAAGAGGCGAGUGGAAUUCCUGGUGUAGCGGUGAAAUGCGCAGAUAUCAAGGAGGAACACCAAUUGCGAAGGCAGCUCGCUGGGACGUUUACUGACGCUGAGACGCGAAAAGCGUGGGGAGCAAACAGG
rnacentral:rRNA from 1 species